CAGCAUGGCUUGACGAGCAGUGUGUGGGUCCGCAACUGGGGUCUGAAACCAUGAACCCCGGGCCGCCAAAGUGGAGCACGCGAACUUAACCACUAUGCCAGCCCGGUUUCUGUUUAAUGUACCACUUUUAUUCACUGGUUAGCUAACUAGUAGUGUGUUAUGAUUACAUUUUUUUUUCCUGUGCAACUUUUUGUUUUUCCUGAAGUUAACGCAUUUUCCACAGGAUUGUAAAACCUCUUUAUUUUCCAUUUGUUCAACUACAGUCGGGUUUUAUGUUCUAUUUUUGUUGCCUCCUGAAGAUACAUCUUUGGGGCCCUAUCCUUUUCUUCCAGGCUGGCUGGUUACUGGCUGGGUGUGCAGUAUCUCUGUCCUUCCGGGGCUUCCAUCUGCUUCUCUUGGUCCCAUCGUUUGUGUCCUGGAGCUUUUGUGUCUUAUUCUCUCAUUUUGGUGAGCCCCUCUUCUAGGGGCGUUCCGUGAAAAGGUCCUUGGGAGGUGACAUUUUGCGAUCUCCCAUGUCAGAAAGCAUCUGUUGCCUCCUGUUUCACUGAUGGUUUGGCUGAGUUUCCCAUUCUAGGUUCAAACCAACUUUCCCCUCGGAAUUCUUACAGCAUCUCUUAGUUUUCAGUGUUGCUGAGGAGAAGUCACUCCAAUUGUCAGUCCAUUGACAAUUCUUUUCUCUGCAAGAGGUUGGGGUUUUCUCGUUAUUUCUGGAGUUUUCUAAUUUCCCUCUGAUAAUCUUUGAUGUGUCUUUUUUUUCGUUCAUUGUGGUAAUUAUUCAUGUCCUUCAUCUUGGAAUGUUCUCCAGUUCUUCAGUGUUUUGUUUCCUUCAUAAUUUCCUCCCAUUUCCUCGCUUCCUCCUCCUCCUUUCUCUCUUUCUGGAAUAUCUAUUAUUCAAAUGUUGGACCUCAGACAUUUAUCCUCCUAUUUUCUCUGUUUUACGUCUUUUUGCUUUGGGGGUUCUGAGGGAUUUCCUUAACUAUCUUCCAACCCUUCUGUUAACCUUUUUUUUUGCUGUCAUUUUUAAUUUCCAAAAGAUUUUAUGUAUUCUCUGGUCCUUUUGUUUUUAAGGACCCUGUUCUUGGUUCAUUGAUUCAGUAUGUUAUCUUUCUCGGGGUAUUCUUUUUAAUAUUUUUUAAUGUUGUUCCAUCCCUUUAUUCGACCCUCUGCGUUGUCCCUUUCUUUCAAGUUCUUCAGUUUUCAGUUUUUUUGAUUUGGUCUCUCUUUCAUUUUCAGGGAUUCUCAAUUAUCUGAUAAUCCUUUGUUAGGAAAAUAUAACAUUAAAAUUUGUGGGAUGCAGGUUAAGCGUUACUUAUAGGCAAAUCUAUAGUCUUAAGUGCAAGGCAAGGAAAGAGUGUAAGGAUUGACUGGGAGAAAUAAAAUGAAUUCACAGUCUAUGUGAUUGUCCACUUAGAAAAUGCAAAAGGAUCCACAGACAAACCAGUCCUUUUAGUGGCUUUAGUGAUGUCACUGGAGGUGAGGUCGAUGUACAAAACUCAACUGUAUUUGUGUGAGCUAGCAACACAUGAGAUAGUGUUUAAUGAAGAUACCAUUUACAGUAUAAAAAAAGCCAUUAGAUGCCUAGGAAUUAGUUUAAUGAAAGAUGUGCAAGAGCUCUACCCAGAAAGACUGCAAAACAUUCCUGAAAAUUUUUAAAGAUCUCUAUAAGAGUAAUAUACCAUGUUUAUGAUUUAAAACAAUGUUGUUCAACUGUCAAUUCUUGUCAAAUUGAUACAGAUCCAAGCAGUCCCGAUCAAGGUGCCAAUGUUUUGGGUGAGGAGGUAAGGUGGGGGAUUAGCAACUUUUAUGGGAACGUAGAGAGCCAAAAAUAGCAAAGAACAUCUUAAAGCAAAAGAGCAAAGUUAGAAGACUGCACCACCAGAUAGCAAGCCUUGUUACAGAGCUCCUGCAAUUGAAAGAGUGAUGCUAGCACAAGGACGGACAAAGAGAUCCAUGGAAUACUGUCCAGAAAUAGACUCGAGCACAUAGAAAUGUGUUGUUCAUGACAAAGGUGUCACUGCAAUGCAAUAAAGAAAGGGUGGUCUUUUCAAUAAAUGUGGAAUCAAUUGGAUAUCCACAUUAUAGGGGAGAAAGAAGGAAUCUUGAUCCAUCACACCAUGCACAAACAUUAAUUCCAGAUGGAUGUUUAGGUUUCUAAAUAUGAAAGGUAAAACUAAGCUUCUAGAAGACAGCAUGGGAGAAUCUUCCUGAUCUUGCUAGACAAAGACUUAGUAAAUAAGAGAUGCAAAAAAGCACUACCUGUAAAGGAAGAUUGAUUAAUUGGGCUGCAUUAAUAUUAGGAACUUCUAUCAUCAAAAUACACCAGUAGGAGAGUCAGAGGACAAUCCACAGAGUUUGUAAUACAUGCAUCUGACAAAGUAUAUCCUGAGUACAUAAAUAACUUCUACAUAUCAGUAAAAAAAGAUAAUCCAGUUACAAAAGGACAACUUGAACACAAGCUCCACAAAAGAAUAUAUCCAAACUAAAAGUGCUCAAUAUCGUGUUAUCCAAGGAAUGCAAAUUAAACAAUGUUUAGCUUAUUAGACAUGUUUAAUUUAUUAGUAACUUAUUAAUUUAUUAACCCUAGAUACACAAAAAAUGGCUAAAACAAAACAAAAAUCCAGCAACAACAAAAGAAACCAAAUGAACUCCGGAUGAUGCCAAGUGCUGUAAGUCUGUGAAGCACCUGGCCGCAUUUAUCACUUAAUGCUUCUGCUCUUUUGGAAAUUGCCAGUGAUGUCCUAAUUUACACGGGCCAAAUGUCGUCUGCCUUUAACUUGAUCUCUGCAGUUCUUUCCCUCACCUGUUCUCUGUUUGUAAAAUCACACUUUUAAAUUUCUCCUCUUGGUCCACUUCUUAGGCUCCUUUGCCAACUUUUCUUUCUCUGGUAAUGCCCUGUCCUACAGGUGCCAUCCUUAGUCCUCUCUUCUGUCCAGUCGCUCAGGAAACUCCUGCCUUCCCGUGGCUUCAUCUAUCACAUCCAUUCUCCUGACUCCCAAAUCUUCACGUAGGCCCAUAUUUCCUGUCUGAGUUCUGCUACGACCGUAAACCAUGCGGGCGGAAGGAGUAUGAUCUGACAAGGCUCCGAGGAGUGCAGGGAAGAGCAAGUGUUUGGCUGAAGUCUACAAUGGGUAUGUUAGGUGGGACCAUCGUGUGGAAAACUUGGUCAAGACAAAUUGGAGAUGGGGUCUGGGGGGAAGGGAACUUCAAAUGUAACAGGUCCUGAUUUGAGAGGGGGUGGAGAGGGAUGCAUACAGGAGAGUGGCAAAAAAGUUUCUGGGCAAAAAAUUGGUUUGGUUAGAGACAUGUCGAGCUGAUAAAAACAGAGGGCUUCCCAGAAGUAACCGAUUUCUCUCAAGUAGCCAACUCACCCAGCCACUCACUCCCCGACCCCCACAAUCCUCAGAGGGGUUGUAGUAGAAUUCGAUGUGUUAAAAUUGAAACGUUGCUUUGAGUCAUCCGUUUGUCACCUGGUGAGCCUGAUUUGAAAAUUAUCGUCCCAGCCUUUUUAUUUCCACGGAUUAACACUAGGUGGCAAACUACACAUAGGGAAUUAUCUUAUGUUAAGCAUUUUGACUUCUGAAACAUUUUCUUUUCCCUCCAAAUAACCUCAUUAGCCAAUAUUUGUUUAAUAAUUAUUGAGUAUUAUUAAUAUUAAGUAUUAAUAUUUAAUAAGUAUUAAGACAUGGGUACUUUUUCAUAAAUUGAAUUAGUCUAUAUUGUGGGUCAACUCUUACUCCCUUCAGCAGAGCCGUAGAUACCUAGUAUAUAUUAUGGCCUGGAUUUUAGUCAUCCGCCAGUUUUAGGUUUAAAAAGAGGUUCUUUAAUUAUAAACAUAAAUAAAAUGAAAUGUUUUUCUUUUGUUAUCAUACUUGAGAACACCUCUACCAGUAAAUUUCAACGUCCCUGUCAGUUGACCCACUAAUGGAAAAUGAUUACAAAUGUCCUGCUUGCCCUCCUUAGGGAGCUCGUCCAUCCAUCUCCAGCCCUUGGACAGUAUUAUCUGCCCACUUUUCCUGUUCCUUAGAAACAGCAUUGGCCUGGAUGCUGGAGAUACAGAGGUGGGUCGGAUAUGUGAGGAGCAACAUAAGAGAAGUAUGUUAAUGCGGUCAUUGAUUCAGGACCUAACAAGCGGCAAAGGAUCUUCACAUUCCUGACCUCCAAGUGGCAGCAAUGGGUCCAGCCCCCUCUAAGGUGACAUACCCAGGGCAGCCAGGACAGGGUACUCUGGAGCUGCUUGGGUUUUUCCAGGAAGCACUGGGGUUCUCCAUUCUAAAUUUCCUUCACUACUUUAGGGUUUCAAGUGUUAAACAAUUAUUUGACCUUGCACAUGAUGAAAGAUGACUGGAGAGAUUUAGAGGCUCAAGGAAUCUUUCUAAAUGCCGAUACAUGAUCACCAGCCUAAUGGCUCCCCAGUUGUCUUGGGAUACAGUCUAAAUUCCUUACUGUGGAUUAGAAGACCAUUGAAGAGCUUGCCCCCUCUCCGUCUUUCUCAACCGUAUCACCCUCAGUUUCACGUACACCAUGUAGAGGUCAGAUUGAAUUUCUCUCAGCUUCAGCAACAUACCUUCUUCUGUCUCAUGAAUGUUCACAAGAUGGGAAGUUUUUUGUUAACAUUCUCUCUCACCUCCCAUUUGGAACCCCAUCUCAAUCCAUGCUUAACCCACCUUCACUUGUUUAACUUCUACGUACAUUUUAGGUUUUAGCUUCCAUGUGACUUCCUCCAAGAAGCCUUCCCUGACCACCCAAGUAUGGUUUUGUAUCCUCUCUGGAGUGUUCUACAUUUCCUCGUUCAGACUACUUACCACACCAUGUUAUAAUCACCUCUUUUCUUGCCUGUAAAGAUGAGACUGCAAACACCGUGGAGGCAGGCUUGCUUAUUCUUGUAUUCUCACUCUCUGGCUCAGGGCUUGGCAAAUAUCAAGUCCUCUACAGACGUUUAUUGAAUAAGUGAGUGAGGCCUCAAUAUCUCAUAGCAUCCCUUUUAUGCCAUUUUGUACCAAGGUUUGAGAGCAGUAACUUUAUGCACACCUGCAGAUAAUAAAUUGUCUAAAACCAGCACAAAUUGUCCCUUUCCUAGAAAACCGAAAGACCAUCUUAUCUAGUUCUCGAUUGAUUUAGGAAACAAAAUAUCCAUGAAGCUCCAAAGUCUUGUGGAUUCACUGUAGAUUCAAGGUGACAAGAUGUGAGAUGUGAAAAAUCUAAUGAAGUUCGUCUCUUUUACUACAAAAUUGAAAUGAACGAAACUUUACACGAUCAGGCAGAGUUCGUGUGUAUUGUGACCUUUACGACAUUGAGAAAUUUGGACGAUUUGGGUCCACGAGAACAGGUUUAGGUCUUCCCAAAGAGCAGUUCCAUAAGGAUGAGCUCUUAAUUUUUCUUAAUUUUUGGCUCCGUGUAAAGAUAACGGGCUUCAGUAGAUAGAAAAUCCUUUUUAGUUCCUAUCUUGGGUCGAGCUGAACUAGCAAAAAUCAGAUUCCUGGAUAACAUUGUUAUGUUUUUUGUCCUCUCUUUACCAAAUCCCAACAUAAUUACUUUCACAUAACUAUGUGAAAGCCUAUUUUAAAGUUAUAAGCAAUGGCCCAUGAACCUCUGAGACUCAUCUUGAAUGUCUGUAAGAAUGUUUUGUAUUUCACAAGAUUCUCUUUGUCAUUCUCUAGAAUAAAUUCCUCUAUGAUCUUAAUAUCAAAAGUAAUUGUUCUUGUCUUGAGAAUUUGGUUGGUUUUUAUCUGAGAGAUCAAUGGGAAUGUGUUAAAAUUACAAAUUCUAGGAUCUCAGCCCAGAUCUACAGAAUUUGAAAUUCAGUGAGGCCUGAGUGAUUCUACUUUUUAUAAGCUCUUCAGAUGACUCAGAUGCAAAUAAAAGAUUGGGAAUCCCUCUGAUAGACGAGAAUUAUAUAAGUGACUAGAUUUCUCUUCAAAUUCAGCCACUGGAUAGAUUAGAGGCAGAUUUAUGGUUCACCGGUAGCACGUUGUAUAAGAUCAUCAUGUUAUGACUUUUAAUUCUUUUCCUGUCUCCCCACGUUUUCAUCUUUGGUUUAUUUUUAUUUCUUUUUUCACCCCACUUCUAAUUUAAAUUCUUGUCAUAUGACAUAUCCACAUAAGCCAUCUUAAAUCUUUUUGGAACAUAACAAGAAACAAACAGCUAGAUAGCCAGACAAAUACAUAAAUAAUUAUUGCACUCAGCUUCUGUAGAGAAAAAGUAUUCUUGGCAAUUGGUGCAGAGUAAGCACUUUUGGCUGACCUAAAGAACGCCCUGUGUGUGUGGGUGUGUGAGUGUGUGUGGGCGUGCAUGCUGGAGGAAAGGGGAGAGGAGGUCAUGCAUGCGGAUUAGGAAACUAUUGUACUUCUGUUUAUCAGUGAAAGAUUUUUUAAUUUUUCUGUCAAAAAGCAAUUGUAUUUAGUUGUUGCUCUUCAUUAAAUUCACGGUUUAUGUACCAGCCAGAAAACUCAUGUCUGAAACAGUGACGUGGAUGUUUUGAUGGCACUGCCCUUUCCCCUCCAUUGUGCCCUUUCUUACUUGGCCCCAAACCUUUCCACCUUAAUCCUUGUCUUGUCUUUGGUUCCUUGCAAGCUAAUCCCCAUGAAGGCAUUAAUUUAUAGGAGCUUUACAGAGUGAUUCUCAGAAUUACUGGGAGUGAAGAAGGCCCCUAGAUUGUCUUGAUACGUUUCAGUAAGAGGAAAUGUAAUCUCUGCUCUUCUAUCAGUAGUACAACCACCAUGCUUUUCAAAAUCACUAUAAAUGGCGUUAAGCCUGGGAAUUAUACCACACGGGUAACUGUAUGGUUUAUGUAUCUGAAUGACGGGUCAGGUGUCUGUGGCUGGGAGAACCAGAUUUUCUUCUCUUGUUUUACUCUCUUCAGUCAUUCCCAGGAGGAAGCUCCAGUGAGACCACGGUUUGAGACAUGUCAGCUAAAUGACCUCAGGGAGUCAUUACGGGCAUGCAGCCUGACACCAGCUCUCUGUCCUAGAAACCAGGCUUGAGGCUCUUGGGCUUCACUGCAGUUGCUGGAUUUUCGCUUUUUGGAUAUCUACUUGUCACCUGGCUCCGUCUGUUCUAAAAUAUAAGUGACAGCUCAGCUUCAACAUAGCAAGAUCAACUUUAUAAUAAUUGGUUGCAAAAUUCAGGAGAGCUGACAAGUGAGAAACUGUUUAAAGACUUGAUGUCUUCUGAAGAACCAGAUCUUGUUCAUUUUAGACUCUUUCCUUCACCUACUGUUUAAGAAAACGGAGAGAACAUACAACUCUAGGAUAAUUCAAUUGAGCCAACCAGAGAUGUAAUCACCACUCCCCCAACCAGACCAGGCAUCACCAUGAGAGCUACAGCUAUGACCUUUGCCUUAUUUUUAAUGCUAACAUCGCUCCAGGAGGACCUUACGCCUUAAGACCUUAACCUGCAGUGCAUGUGGAAGGAUGUUUUCCAACUGAGCCUGCGCAAGCGAAUGCCCACCUCUCCUUUUGAAUAUUCAUUCCCCAUCCCAAAUAAAUG